ACUCCUAUUUGGAGAGCAGCAGUGGGGAAUAUUGCGCAAUGGGCGAAAGCCCGACGCAGCGACGCCGCGUGAGGGAUGACGGCCUUCGGGUUGUAAACCUCUUUCAGCAGGGACGAAGCGCAAGUGACGGUACCUGCAGAAGAAGCACCGGCCAACUACGUGCCAGCAGCCGCGGUAAUACGUAGGGUGCAAGCGUUGUCCGGAAUUAUUGGGCGUAAAGAGCUCGUAGGCGGUUUGUCGCGUCGGCUGUGAAAACUCGGGGCUCAACCCCGAGCCUGCAGUCGAUACGGGCAGACUAGAGUGCUGUAGGGGAGACUGGAAUUCCUGGUGUAGCGGUGAAAUGCGCAGAUAUCAGGAGGAACACCGGUGGCGAAGGCGGGUCUCUGGGCAGUAACUGACGCUGAGGAGCGAAAGCGUGGGGAGCGAACAGGAUUAGAUACCCUGGUAGUCCACGCCGUAAACGGUGGGUGCUAGGUGUGAGCGGUAUUCCACGCCGUUCGUGCCGCAGCUAACGCAUUAAGCACCCCGCCUGGGGAGUACGGCCGCAAGGCUAAAACUCAAAGGAAUUGACGGGGGCCCGCACAAGCAGCGGAGCAUGUGGCUUAAUUCGACGCAACGCGAAGAACCUUACCAAGGCUCGACAUACACCGAAAACUCGUAGAGAUACGGGGUCCGCAAGGGCGGUGUACAGGUGGUGCAUGGUUGUCGUCAGCUCGUGUCGUGAGAUGUUGGGUUAAGUCCCGCAACGAGCGCAACCCUCGUUCUAUGUUGCCAGCGGGUUAUGCCGGGGACUCAUAGGAGACUGCCGGGGUCAACUCGGAGGAAGGUGGGGACGACGUCAAAUCAUCAUGCCCCUUAUGUCUUGGGCUGCACACAUGCUACAAUGGCCGGUACAAAGGGCUGCUAAACCGCGAGGUGGAGCGAAUCCCAAAAAGCCGGUCUCAGUUCGGAUUGGGGUCUGCAACUCGACCCCAUGAAGUCGGAGUUGCUAGUAAUCGCAGAUCAGCAACGCUGCGGUGAAUACGUUCCCGGGCCUUGUUCCCGCCGCCCGU
rnacentral:rRNA from 1 species